AUUGAACGCUGGCGGCAGGCCUAACACAUGCAAGUCGAACGAGUGGCGGACGGGUGAGUAAUGUCUGGGAAACUGCCCGAUGGAGGGGGAUAACUACUGGAAACGGUAGCUAAUACCGCAUACCAUCGGAUGUGCCCAGAUGGGAUUAGCUUGUAGGGGAGGUAACGGCUCACCUAGGCGACGAUCCCUAGCUGGUCUGAGAGGAUGACCAGCCACACUGGACCUGACACACGGUCCAGAAUCAUACGGGAUGCAGCAGGGUGGAAUAUUGCAAAAUGGGCGCAGUCCUGAUGCAGCCAUGCCGCGUGUAUGAAGAAGGCCUUCGGGUUGUAAAGUACGUUCAGCGGGGAGGCGUUACCCGCAGAAGAAGAACCGGCUAACUCCGUGCCAGCAGCCGCGGUAAUAC
rnacentral:rRNA from 1 species